GAUGAACGCUGGCGGCGCGCCUAAUACAUGCCAGUCGAGCGAACAGACGAGGAGCUUGCUCCUCUGACGUUAGCGGCAGACGGGUGAGUAACACGUGGAUAACCUACCUAUAAGACUGGGAUAACUUCGGGAAACCGGAGCUAAUACCGGAUAAUAUAUUGAACCGCAUGGUUCAAUAGUGAAAGACGGUUUUGCUGUCACUUAUAGAUGGAUCCGCGCCGCAUUAGCUAGUUGGUAAGGUAACGGCUUACCAAGGCAACGAUGCGUAGCCGACCUGAGAGGGUGAUCGGCCACACUGGAACUGAGACACGGUCCAGACUCCUACGGGAGGCAGCAGUAGGGAAUCUUCCGCAAUGGGCGAAAGCCUGACGGAGCAACGCCGCGUGAGUGAUGAAGGUCUUCGGAUCGUAAAACUCUGUUAUUAGGGAAGAACAAAUGUGUAAGUAACUAUGCACGUCUUGACGGUACCUAAUCAGAAAGCCACGGCUAACUACGUG
rnacentral:rRNA from 1 species